rnacentral:snRNA from 1 species
GGCUGGAGUAUGGAUGCAAGUCUGUCAUCCCAUUGAUCUUCAGGGUUGAUUCAGCUGAUCUGCCUGGCUAGGCAGGUGUCCCCUUCCUCUGUGAGCCUCUCUCCCAAAGCCGCACACUCACUCAUUGAAGAGAAUGAUCGUUUCGUAAUAGAGGAGGACCGUUCUUUGGUCUAGAGUAUAGGAGUAGCAGCGCUCCCCUGCUAGACCUCCAAACAAGCUCUCAAGAGGACCAGAAGGAAAGGGUGGACUGAAUUCCUGAUGAU